rnacentral:rRNA from 1 species
GAAUCUACUUUUUCGUGGGGGAUAACGUAGGGAAACUUACGCUAAUACCGCAUACGACCUACGGGUGAAAGCAGGGGAUCUUCGGACCUUGCGCGAUUGAAUGAGCCGAUGUCGGAUUAGCUAGUUGGCGGGGUAAAGGCCCACCAAGGCGACGAUCCGUAGCUGGUCUGAGAGGAUGAUCAGCCACACUGGAACUGAGACACGGUCCAGACUCCUACGGGAGGCAGCAGUGGGGAAUAUUGGACAAUGGGCGCAAGCCUGAUCCAGCCAUACCGCGUGGGUGAAGAAGGCCUUCGGGUUGUAAAGCCCUUUUGUUGGGAAAGAAAUCCAGCUGGUUAAUACCCGGUUGGGAUGACGGUACCCAAAGAAUAAGCACCGGCUAACUUCGUGCCAGCAGCCGCGGUAAUACGAAGGG